GUUGGCUCUGCGUUCCAGCCAGUGCUUAACCUCCCUGGUGCCUGGGGAUGAGUUGGCCAACAGUUUCAAUAUCGUACCCAGGAAGUUGAGGAGCCAGUGUUCUAACCCCCGUGGUGCCAAUUAUCUCCAUGGCCUCUAGUAAGCAGGGCACGGAGAGUCACUUGAACAAGCUCAGACAAGAAUCAGCAAGGAAUAGCAUCUGCAGCUGUACCUCGGCCUGUCUGCUCUGCUCCAUGCGUCGAUAUCCGCAUAUGGCAAGUCGUAGGGAACUUUGCUGCCUAUGAAGCAAGUGGUGACAGGAACCUGG
rnacentral:lncRNA from 1 species